rnacentral:tRNA from 1 species
UCCCUGGUGGCUCAGAGGGUAAAGCGUCUGCCUACAAUGUGGGAGACCUAGGUUCAAUCCCUGGGUUGGGAA